rnacentral:misc_RNA from 1 species
UACAGAGGGUGCAAGCGUUAAUCGGAAUUACUGGGCGUAAAGCGCGCGUAGGUGGUUUUGUAAGUUGGAGGUGAAAUCCCCGGGCUCAACCUGGGAACUGCCUCCAAAACUGCAUAGCUAGAGUACAGACGAGGUAGGCGGAAUUUCCUGUGUAGCGGUGAAAUGCGUAGAUAUAGGAAGGAACACCAGUGGCGAAGGCGACCACCUGGACUGAUACUGACACUGAGGUGCGAAAGCGUGGGGAGCAAACAGG